rnacentral:rRNA from 1 species
AGAGUUUGAUUCUGGCUCAGAAUGAACGCUGGCGGCGUGGAUAAGACAUGCAAGUCGAACGAGAAAACUGAAUAGCUUGCUAAUUGGUUUUCUAGUGGCGGACGGGUUAGUAACACGUGAGCAACCUGCCCCAAAGUGGGGGAUAGCCUUCCGAAAGGGAGAUUAAUACCGCAUGUGGCCUUCGGGUCAAAGGUGCCUUCGGGUGCCGCUUUGGGAUGGGCUCGCGGCCUAUCAGCUGGAUGGCGGGGUAACGGCCCACCAUGGCGACGACGGGUAGCUGGUCUGAGAGGACGACCAGCAACACUGGAACUGAGACACGGUCCAGACACCUACGGGUGGCAGCAGUCGAGAAUCAUUCACAAUGGGGGAAACCCUGAUGGUGCAACGCCGCGUGGAGGAUGAAGGCCCUAGGGUCGUAAACUCCUGUCAUGUGAGAGUAAGGCAUACUUGGGCGUAAAGAGUACGUAGGCGGCUAGGUAAGUCAGGUGUGAAAUCCCGGGGCUCAACCCCGGAACUGCACCCGAUACUGCCUGGCUGGAGUAAUGGAGGGGCAGGUGGAAUUCUCGGUGUAGCAGUGAAAUGCGUGGAUAUCGAGAGGAAGACCAAUGGCGAAGGCAGCCUGCUGGACAUUUACUGACGCUGAGGUACGAAGGCCAGGGUAGCGAAAGGGAUUAGAUACCCCUGUAGUCCUGGCAGUAAACGGUGCGCGCUUGGUGUGGGAGGAUUCGACCCCUUCCGUGCCGGAGCUAACGCGUUAAGCGCGCCGCCUGGGGAGUACGGUCGCAAGACUAAAACUCAAAGAAAUUGACGGGGACCCGCACAAGCGGUGGAGUAUGUGGCUUAAUUCGAUGCAACGCGAAGAACCUUACCCAGGCUUGACAUGUAUUGCUAAGCACGUGAAAGCGUGUGACCCUUCGGGGACCUUACACAGGUGCUGCAUGGCCGUCGUCAGCUCGUGUCGUGAGAUGUUUGGUUAAGUCCAGCAACGAGCGCAACCCCUGUGGACAGUUGCCAGCACGUAAAGGUGGGGACUCUGUCCAGACCGCCCGGGUCAACCGGGAGGAAGGUGGGGAUGACGUCAGGUCAGUAUGGCCCUUACGCCUGGGGCUGCACACGUACUACAAUGCCCAGUACAAUGGGAACCGAAACCGUGAGGUGGAGGAAAUCCGCAAAACUGGGCCCAGUUCGGAUUGGAGGCUGCAACUCGCCUCCAUGAAGUUGGAAUCGCUAGUAAUGGCACAUCAGCUACGGUGCCGUGAAUACGUUCCCGGGUCUUGUACACACCGCCCGUCACAUCAUGGAAGCCGGUCGCACCCGAAGUGCCUGCGUCAACAAUGGCAGGGCCCUAAGGUGUAGCUGGUAACUGGGAUGAAGUCGUAACAAGGUAGCCGUAGGGGAACCUGCGGCUG